GCAGACUACAGUGAGGGCAUGCCGAGUAUAAUUUGGGGCUUGUGCAACAAACUCGAACGUGUAAUAUGUUUUUCCAUCAACGACGCGCUCUGAUGAUUCAAUUAGUUUUGUUUUCUGAGAAGGCGAUGCUAAAAACUUUUUUAUUAAAGUUUCAGCAACCUGUUGUGGCGAACCAAAAUCCCGUAUGUCCUCUUUACUGCUUGGUACCAAAUUUACACUAGCACUUUCUAGUGGUUCAAUAACAUCUUUGAAAACUUUAUCUUCACCUUCAACAACGACUUCCUG
rnacentral:misc_RNA from 1 species